rnacentral:lncRNA from 1 species
GUCAACAUUCGAAUCUCUGAGGGUGAGUCUGCCAUAGCCAAGCGGGCAUUGGCCAGAUGGCUCAUCGAAGCUGCCCUUCUCCCGACUGAUUGGAAGAAUAGGAAGAAUAGAACUGUUGCUGAAUUUUUUCUUCCUUUUAUUCGAUGAUACUCAAGAUAAAUUUUUCGAUAUUUUUUUUUGAUCUGACUUGGUUCAUCUUCUGAUUUGAUUCACCUUCUGUUUUUAAUGGG